GACAGAGGGGGCAAGCGUUGUCCGGAUUUACUGGGCGUAAAGAGCGCGCAGGCGGUCGUUCAAGUCGAGUGUGAAAGCCCCCGGCUCAACUGGGGAGGGUCACUCGAUACUGAUCGACUUGAAGGCAGGAGAGGGAAGCGGAAUUCCCGGUGUAGUGGUGAAAUGCGUAGAUAUCGGGAGGAACACCAGUGGCGAAGGCAGCUUCCUGGCCUGUUCUUGACGCUGAGGCGCGAAAGCUAGGGGAGCAAACGGG
rnacentral:rRNA from 1 species